AUGAACGCUGGCGGCGUGCCUAAUACAUGCAAGUCGAGCGAACAGACGAGGAGCUUGCUCCUCUGACGUUAGCGGCGGACGGGUGAGUAACACGUGGAUAACCUACCUAUAAGACUGGGAUAACUUCGGGAAACCGGAGCUAAUACCGGAUAAUAUAUUGAACCGCAUGGUUCAAUAGUGAAAGACGGUUUUGCUGUCACUUAUAGAUGGAUCCGCGCCGCAUUAGCUAGUUGGUAAGGUAACGGCUUACCAAGGCAACGAUGCGUAGCCGACCUGAGAGGGUGAUCGGCCACACUGGAACUGAGACACGGUCCAGACUCCUACGGGAGGCAGCAGUAGGGAAUCUUCCGCAAUGGGCGAAAGCCUGACGGAGCAACGCCGCGUGAGUGAUGAAGGUCUUCGGAUCGUAAAACUCUGUUAUUAGGGAAGAACAAAUGUGUAAGUAACUAUGCACGUCUUGACGGUACCGAAUCAGAAAGCCACGGCUAACUACGUG
rnacentral:rRNA from 1 species